rnacentral:rRNA from 1 species
CCUACGGGGGGCAGCAGUGGGGAAUAUUGCACAAUGGGCGCAAGCCUGAUGCAGCCAUGCCGCGUGUGUGAAGAAGGCCUUCGGGUUGUAAAGCACUUUCAGCGGGGAGGAAGGCGUUAAGGUUAAUAACCUUGUCGAUUGACGUUACCCGCAGAAGAAGCACCGGCUAACUCCGUGCCAGCAGCCGCGGUAAUACGGAGGGUGCAAGCGUUAAUCGGAAUUACUGGGCGUAAAGCGCACGCAGGCGGUCUGUCAAGUCGGAGGUGAAAUCCCCGGGCUCAACCUGGGAACUGCAUUCGAAACUGGCAGGCUAGAGUCUUGUAGAGGGGGGUAGAAUUCCAGGUGUAGCGGUGAAAUGCGGAGAGAUCUGGAGGAAUACCGGUGGCGAAGGCGGCCCCCUGGACAAAGACUGACGCUCAGGUGCGAAAGCGUGGGGAGCAAACAGGAUUAGAUACCCUAGUAGUC